GGAAGAACCGCGGAUGUUGUACUAACUCUUAUUACAACCAAACGUGUAUAUUAAUUCCAUUUUACGAGGGCUAGAAAAUCAUAGUUGAAAGAUUAUUUUUUAAUGAAGAUUUCCAGCUACAAGAUCGAAAGAUUUCCUCGAAUUCUUAUUGUUAACUACCUUUAAUUCUGUUAAAAAUUAUUUUGCUUUCAUUUUGUGCUAAAAUGAAAAAAAAUAUGUUUCAUUCUUCUUUGUAUUAUCUUUAGCCGUAAACGAUUUACAACUCGAUGUUUUUGCUAUGCUUAUUAAGAAACCAGUGAUGAUAAGAUGGUUACCUCGAAUCUCUUCUGCAGCUCCUCCAGGAAGCAGACUUUUGACGUAAAUUCCACCAAGUUCACUUCCACCCUGUAAAUCCAAGAAAAAAGCUGAAUAAGAUGGUAGCACGUUUUUCAAGCCAUGUGGGAUGUAGACAUUUUCAAGAAACAGGUAAAGUUUCAAGCUCAGAAGGAAAUGGCCGCCCGUUUGGGCAUUAAAUGAAAUAUCAAGUCAAAAUUAUUACAAAAAUGAAAAAAUAAAAUAAAUAAAUCCUUGACUUUGUUACUUCAAUAAAUCCCCAAAAAUGUAAGAAUUCUUACAAUAAAAAAAAUGAAAAUGUGUAACAA